AACGAACGCUGGCGGCAGGCUUAACACAUGCAAGUCGAACGCAUCCUUCGGGGUGAGUGGCAGACGGGUGAGUAACGCGUGGGAACGUGCCCUUCAGUUCGGGAUAACCCAGGGAAACUUGGGCUAAUACCGGAUACGUGCGAGAGCAGAAAGAUUUAUCGCUGGAGGAUCGGCCCGCGUCUGAUUAGCUAGUUGGUGGGGUAAUGGCCCACCAAGGCGACGAUCAGUAGCUGGUCUGAGAGGAUGAUCAGCCACAUUGGGACUGAGACACGGCCCAAACUCCUACGGGAGGCAGCAGUGGGGAAUAUUGGACAAUGGGCGCAAGCCUGAUCCAGCCAUGCCGCGCGAGUGAUGAAGGCCUUAGGGUUGUAAAGCUCUUUCGUCCGGGACGAUAAUGACGGUACCGGAAGAAGAAGCCCCGGCUAACUUCGUGCCAGCAGCCGCCGUAAAAC
rnacentral:rRNA from 1 species